rnacentral:tRNA from 1 species
GCCUGGGUGGCUCAGUCGGUUGAGCGUCUGACUCGGUAUCAGCUCAGGUCCUGAUCCCACCAUUUGUGAGAUCAAGUCCCACACUGGGCU